GUCCUGGUGCUUGAUGGUCGAGGCCAUCUCCUGGGCCGCCUGGCGGCCAUCGUGGCUAAACAGGUACUGCUGGGUAAGUCGCUGCUCGCGGCCCCUCUGUCAUGGGCCCCCGCUGGCGGUCAGUGAUGAGCAACAUUCACCAUCUUUCGUUUGAGUCUCAUGGCCAUGAGAUCAACCCCAUGCACCGCUCUGAGACCUGCCAGCCACUCUUCCCCGGGGUUGGGGACUCCAGGCUCAAGAAGUAAUUAUGUAUUAGGCUAAGUUUUCAUUUAAACAUGAACUUAGUUCUGGCGAGUACUGCGCUGUGUCUGGAGGGUGACUGCAUAGGCGGUGGUAGAACCCUCAGGUGGCUCAGCCCUUCUAAGACUUUCCCUCCCUCUAGGCCGGAAGGUGGUGGUCGUACGCUGCGAAGGCAUCAACAUUUCUGGCAAUUUCUACAGAAACAAGUGUAAGUUAAGACCUGGGAGGAGACCUGGAGAGGGUCUCCCUGUGGGGUGUUGAGGCUCUGAAAGCAAUUGCAGCCGUGUUGGGAGAGGCUACUUGGGGUUUCUGAGAAGGCCCUUGGAAGUGGGGUUUUGGGGAUGCUGGUAGACUGGGCAGGCCUCACACUCUCUCCUCUCCCUAGUGAAGUACCUGGCUUUCCUCCGCAAGCGGAUGAACACCAACCCUUCCCGAGGCCCCUACCACUUCCGGGCCCCCAGCCGCAUCUUCUGGCGGACCGUGCGAGGUGAGCAGAGCGUGGGGACUGCAGGUGGUGAUGGGCAGGCGGCCAGUGAUGAGAACUUCUCCCACUCACAUUCGAGUUUCCCGACCAUGAGAUGACUCCACAUGCACUACCAUCUGAGGCCACUCCAUGGGCCCACCUCAGUGGGGAGGGUGGGCGUCCUUAUGAGGCCCUCUGACUGGACCUGCUAUCCGUCACUCAACAGGUAUGCUGCCCCACAAGACCAAGCGAGGCCAGGCCGCUCUGGACCGUCUCAAGGUGUUUGACGGCAUCCCACCGCCCUAUGACAAGGUGAGCUGUGCCAACCCCUGCAGGCAGCGGCCUUACCUGUGGCGUCCAUGAUGUUCCGCCACUACCUACAUUGUUUGAUCCUCAUGAAAGCAGCACUGGCUGAGACGCCGGCCCAGCCAACCUCCUUCCCUGUCUGUCCCUCCCGGGCUCUAAGCCCCUCUCUUUCUCUAACAGAAAAAGCGGAUGGUGGUUCCUGCUGCCCUCAAGGUUGUGCGUCUGAAGCCUACAAGAAAGGUGAGUCCCAGCUUACACUGCGCCAUCUACUUUGGAGAUUUCAGGCCUGCUGAGGGACCUGGGGCCCCGGAGCCUGGCAGAUGAUGUCCUUAUCUCACGAUGGUCUGCGGAUGUCCCUGCGGGAAUGGCGACAAUGCCAUUGGCUUAGCUGAUGCCAGGAGGGUUGGUUUGCCUAUCUGGGGCGCCUGGCUCAUGAGGUUGGCUGGAAGUACCAGGCAGUGACAGCCACCCUGGAGGAGAAGAGGAAAGAGAAAGCCAAGAUCCACUACCGGAAGAAGAAACAGCUCAUGAGGCUACGGAAACAGGCCGAGAAGAACGUGGAGAAGAAAAUUGACAAAUAUACAGAGGUCCUCAAGACCCACGGACUCCUGGU
rnacentral:sRNA from 1 species